rnacentral:rRNA from 1 species
AUUGAACGCUGGCGGCAGGCCUAACACAUGCAAGUCGAGCGGAUGAGUGGAGCUUGCUCCAUGAUUCAGCGGCGGACGGGUGAGUAAUGCCUAGGAAUCUGCCUGGUAGUGGGGGACAACGUUUCGAAAGGAACGCUAAUACCGCAUACGUCCUACGGGAGAAAGCAGGGGACCUUCGGGCCUUGCGCUAUCAGAUGAGCCUAGGUCGGAUUAGCUAGUAGGUGAGGUAAAGGCUCACCUAGGCGACGAUCCGUAACUGGUCUGAGAGGAUGACCAGUCACCCUGGAACUGAGACACGGUCCAGACUCCUACGGGAGGCCGCAGUGGGGAAUAUUGGACAAUGGGCGAAAGCCUGAUCCAGCCAUGCCGCGUGUGUGAAGAAGGUCUUCGGAUUGUAAAGCACUUUAAGUUGGGAGGAAGGGCAGUAAGUUAAUACCUUGCUGUUUUGACGUUACCAACAGAAUAAGCACCGGCUAACUUCGUGCCAGCCGCCGCCGUAA